GACGAACCGAGCGAACGUUGUUCGGAAUCACAGGGCUUAAAGGGCGCGUAGGCGGGUGCUCAAGUCCGUGGUGAAAUCCUCCGGCUCAACCGGAGAACUGCCUCGGAUACUGGGCGUCUCGAGUGUGGUAGGGGUAUGCGGAACUAUCGGUGGAGCGGUGAAAUGCGUUGAUAUCGAUAGGAACUCCGGUGGCGAAGGCGGCAUACUGGACCACCACUGACGCUGAUGCGCGAAAGCCAGGGGAGCAAACGGG
rnacentral:rRNA from 1 species